rnacentral:rRNA from 1 species
UAAGCGGAGGAAAAGAAACCAACCGGGAUUGCCUUAGUAACGGCGAGUGAAGCGGCAAAAGCUCAAAUUUGAAAUCUGGUACCUUCGGUGCCCGAGUUGUAAUUUGGAGAGGGCAACUUUGGGGCCGUUCCUUGUCUAUGUUCCUUGGAACAGGACGUCAUAGAGGGUGAGAAUCCCGUGUGGCGAGGAGUGCGGUUCUUUGUAAAGUGCCUUCGAAGAGUCGAGUUGUUUGGGAAUGCAGCUCUAAGUGGGUGGUAAAUUCCAUCUAAAGCUAAAUAUUGGCGAGAGACCGAUAGCGAACAAGUACAGUGAUGGAAAGAUGAAAAGAACUUUGAAAAGAGAGUGAAAAAGUACGUGAAAUUGUUGAAAGGGAAGGGCAUUUGAUCAGACAUGGUGUUUUGUGCCCUCUGCUCCUUGUGGGUAGGGGAAUCUCGCAUUUCACUGGGCCAGCAUCAGUUUUGGUGGCAGGAUAAAUCCAUAGGAAUGUAGCUUGCCUCGGUAAGUAUUAUAGCCUGUGGGAAUACUGCCAGCUGGGACUGAGGACUGCGACGUAAGUCAAGGAUGCU